CUAAUUUUUUAAAGUAAUAACUUUAAAAAAGGAAGUUAUAUACUCUUUAUGAUAGUGUACCCUAAAGGUUUAUGAAAUGUGUCUCAUGGAUUAAUCGUUUAACCUCAUGUGUGAAAUCUUAACUCAGGAUAUUAGGGCUGGAAGGGAUGUGAUAGACAAUCUUGCCAAGCCUGGCCCUUCUUCUACACAGAGGUCUUCAGAGAUCUGGAGGAGGAAAGUUCCUUGCCCUGAGUUCGCUGAGCCAGAACAAUAGGACUUCUUUUGUACUUGUGAAACUUGUCCAUUGUCUAAGUCUAGGUUUAUGUCAUCUGGCUGGCUUUUUACAAAGCGUGUGAAGUAAGAACAUGAAUAAUUGUCACUUAAUUAGAGACCUAGACUCAGAGGAAUUAUAGUUACUCCAUGUAUGAAAAAUUGCAGGACUGUUAACUCUGUCAUUCUUUGGUUUAGUGGGUGGAGCCAGCUGUCCUCAUUAGAAUAAAGGUUAUUUAUUCAACCCAAGUAUAAAUGGAAAAAAAGAUGUGCCCUCUGUCAUUGAGGGUUGACUGACUGGAGAGCUCAAGUGCAGCAAAGAGAAGUGUCAGAGCAUGAGUGCUAAGUCCAGAACCAUAGGGAUUAUUGGAGCUCCUUUCUCAAAGGGACAGAACCCUUUAUGUGCCUCACUUGGAAGGGGAAAAAAGAACAAAAAAAGUAAGAAAAUCCUACUGCAGUUUGGCAACUCUAAAAGGAUUUUAAUGGAUUUAUGAAACUCCCAGACUUCCUUAGAGCCACCAGCUGUGAAUCCACACAUGCCAGCAACAUCUGAAUACACUUUUUUUUCUGCCUGGGCACACUUAUUCUAGUAAAGAGUAUAGACUUCAACACACAUCUGUGCUCAAAGAAGAUAAAAAACAAAGAACAAAAUCAAACGAGACAAUGUGUGAGUUGAAACUGCUAAGGUUGAUUUUCUCCAGGUUUCUCAGAAUCUGGGCAGUGUUUUGCUUCCUUUUAAUUUGGAACCCUUGCUGUGUACUCUGACUUUUUACUGCAAAACAAAUUGAGAGAGGCCAGAGGUUAGAGGCCCAAACAGCAUUUGAACUGUCAGUAAAUACUACUUUGCUUCUCCUGGAAAUCCUCCAAAAGUCUCUCCCAAACACAGGGACAUUUUGCUGACACAGAAGUGUUCCUUUUAAAAUCCACACUGUUCUCACCUACUCUUGAACAGGUUAUAAUAAACAUAUAAUUUAAAAAAUUGACA
rnacentral:lncRNA from 1 species